GGAUGCCUUGUAAAAGUGAGAUUAAAAGGCUGAAGAAGAGCACAAGGAAGGAAGUUAAAUCAAAAGGAACAGAGACUUUCCAUUUCUUUGAUUUUUCAACAAAUGUUCCACCAUGAACUCUUUCUUCAGUCUCUCGGUGUUCCUCUCCCUGAUACUUCUGCUGGCUGAUCCAGGAUUCUCUACCAUUACGAAUGAAAUGCACUGUUAUCAAGCCAAAGGACAAUGCAAACCACGUGAAUGCGAUUGGCCCUCUAGUUAUUAUGGAGGAAUGUGUCAUAUGUAUACAAUAGUCUGUUGUCUACCCACAAAGUAGAAAAAUACUAAGAUAGACUUGAAGCAUAUGUGCUCCAUGUCUUUGUG